CCUACGGGAGACAGCAGUGAGGAAUAUUGGUCAAUGGCCGGAAGGCUGAACCAGCCAUGCCGCGUUAAGGUCAGUGCCCUAUGGGCGUUAAACUUCUUUUGUGCGGGAGCAAUAAUGGUCACGUGUGGCCAGACGAGAGUACCGUACGAAUAAGCAUCGGCUAACUCCGUGCCAGCCGCCGCGGUAAUACGGGUGAUGCAAGCGUUAUCCGGUUUUAUUGGGUUUAAAGGGUGCGGAAGCUGUGAGGUAAGUCAGCGGUGAAAUGCCCCCGCUCAACGGGGUGAAGUGCCAUUGAUACUGCCUUGCUGGAAUGCGGAUGCCGUGGGAGGAAUGUGUGGUGUAGCGGUGAAAUGCAUAGAUAUCACACAGAACACCGAUUGCGAAGGCAUCUCACGAAUCCGCGAUUGACGCUGAUGCACGAAAGCGUGGGUAUCAAACAGGAUUAGAUACCCCUGUAGUC
rnacentral:rRNA from 1 species